rnacentral:rRNA from 1 species
UACAGAGGUCCCGAGCGUUGUUCGGAUUCACUGGGCGUAAAGGGUGCGUAGGUGGUGAGGAAAGUCGGAUGUGAAAUCUCCGGGCUUAACCCGGAAACUGCAUUGGAAACUACCUUGCUAGAGGUUUUGAGGGGGGACUGGAAUUCUCGGUGUAGCAGUGAAAUGCGUAGAUAUCGUAAGGAAGACCAGUGGCGAAGGCGAGUUCCUGGACAGUUGCUGACACUGAGGCACGAAGGCUAGGGGAGCAAACGGG